rnacentral:rRNA from 1 species
GACGAACCGUGCGAACGUUAUUCGGAAUCACUGGGCUUAAAGCGCGUGUAGGCGGUGCUCUAAGUUCGGUGUGAAAUCUCCCGGCUCAACUGGGAGGGUGCGCUGAAAACUGGGGUGCUCGAGGGUGGGAGAGGUAAGCGGAAUUCCUGGUGUAGCGGUGAAAUGCGUAGAUAUCAGGAGGAACACCUGUGGUGUAGACGGCUUUCUGGACCAUAGCUGACGCUGAGACACGAAAGCGUGGGUAGCAAACAGG